CCUCAAGACACCUCAGCAGUUGCUACAUGCAAAGAUGAUGGAGAGUGGAGUUUCGAACUAACAUGCAGAGAGGUUACAUGCAACCGUCCACGAGACCCAACUUUGUAUGACUGGAGGAAUUGGGAUCAAAGAGUAAUGUUGCGGGAUACUGUACGUUAUUCAUGUAGGGGAGGCUAUAAGAGAACAGAUGGUGCCACUGAGGCCACAUGCACCAGAGAUGGGUGGAGACCAAAUCCACUCUGUCAAGAAAUUAAUUGCAACAGACGUGAUUUCCAGCAUGCAGAUGUUCAAAACCCUCAGCAGAUAUACAGGAACGGUGAACGGGCCAGUUAUGUCUGCAAGGAUGGUUAUAAAGGAAAUUUUUAUCUAACCUGUGAAGAAAAUGGUUGGAGAGGGCAACAACAAUGUAG